UGGGGAAUUUUGGACAAUGGGCGAAAGCCUNAUCCAGCAAUGCCGCGUGUGUGAAGAAGGCCUUCGGGUUGUAAAGCACUUUUGUCCGGAAAGAAAUCCUUGGCUCUAAUACAGUCGAGGGAUGACGGUACCGGAAGAAUAAGCACCGGCUAACUACGUGCCAGCAGCCGCGGUAAUACGUAGGGUGCAAGCGUUAAUCGGAAUUACUGGGCGUAAAGCGUGCNCAGGCGGUUUGCUAAGACCGAUGUGAAAUCCCCGGGCUCAACCUGGGAACUGCAUUGGUGACUGGCAGGCUAGAGUAUGGCAGAGGGGGGUAGAAUUCCACGUGUAGCAGUGAAAUGCGUAGAGAUGUGGAGGAAUACCGAUGGCGAAGGCAGCCCCCUGGGCCAAUACUGACGCUCAUGCACGAAAGCGUGGGGAGCAAAACAGGAUUAGAUACCCUGGUAGUCCACGCCCUAAACGAUGUCACUAGUUGUUGGGGAUUCAUUUCUUAGUAACGUAGCUAACGCGUGAAGUUGACCGCCUGGGGAGUACGGUCGCAAGAUUAAAACUC
rnacentral:rRNA from 1 species